rnacentral:lncRNA from 1 species
AUGAAGGAUUUGCCCUUCUCCCAUAAACUUUGGGUCCCAGGAGAACCUUGGUUGCUGAAGGCUGGGCUCAGUCCUCUGCCUGGGAGUCUGAGGAAAUGCUCUUCUUACCUAAGAAAUGGAAGAUGGGGCCCAGGAGGCCCUGCUGUUGCUACAUUCCCCUCUACCGUGCAAACUGCCAUCCCUGGCCAGCUCUCCCUUAUUCUUAACCUGAUACAAGUCCUUCAUUUCCAAAUGCUGCCCUUUCUGGAGUGCAUGGUUGGCCUGACAGUGUCACUGACCCCAGGGCUCUCCUUGCCCCUGGAGUACCCACAGGCCUUGGUCCAUGUCUUUAAAUUCAGGAGUCGGGUGGAAAGAAAUUGUGUUCAUGCUGCAUGGGAGGUAGAGAAUGGAGGUGACUUUUUAUCCCUGCCACCCCUCAUUUUGUUUCCUUCUCUGAAGCACCUGCCUCUGAGCUCAGUUCCCCAAAGAGGCAGGCGGGCAGCCAAGCAAGGGCAAAGCUCUGGAGGGGGAGUGGGUAGAGGUAGGGCGGCCCCAGGCUCAAGGACUCCCCGGUUGCCAUUUCCUUCCUACCUUGAUGCUCCACUUUCGCAGGUCACUGGGGAGGCAGGCCCAUGGCACACGAGGGACAGUGGGGAGGGUAAGAGGAAGAAGCACCCUGUAGCCUUUGGCCCACCCACGAGGCAGGGUGGAGGGUUCUUCCUGGAUCCAAGGGUGGAACCUCCCCACGAGACUGGGUCCAUCCCCUUGGACAGGUUAGGAAGGAAGGAAAGCGAGCUGCAACAGCCGUCAUACAGCAGGACACACAGGGGAGGGGGUUUGAGGGGCUUUGAUACGAAACGCACUGGAGGGGAGGGGUCAGAGAAAGAGAAGGAGGGGAAGAGAGAAAAAGCAGAGAGGAGACAAGAUGCACGGAGAAAGGAGGAGCUGAAAGUGGCCUGGACUCCAGCCCCGGCUGUUGUCUGGGGGGUGCGGGGUGGUGAGUCGGUGCUUGCGGCACAUCGUGGGGGUCAUAGCAGGCCUGUGGCUGGGGAAACAGGCUGA